UUAAGUUAUUAAGGGCGCACGGUGGAUGCCUUGGCACUAGAAGCCGAUGAAGGACGUUACUAACGACGAUAUGCUUUGGGGAGCUGUAAGUAAGCUUUGAUCCAGAGAUUUCCGAAUGGGGAAACCCAGCAUGAGUUAUGUCAUGUUAUCGAUAUGUGAAUACAUAGCAUAUCAGAAGGCACACCCGGAGAACUGAAACAUCUUAGUACCCGGAGGAAGAGAAAGAAAAUUCGAUUCCCUUAGUAGCGGCGAGCGAAACGGGAAGAGCCCAAACCAACAAGCUUGCUUGUUGGGGUUGUAGGACACUCUAUACGGAGUUACAAAGGACGACAUUAGACGAAUCAUCUGGAAAGAUGAAUCAAAGAAGGUAAUAAUCCUGUAGUCGAAAAUGUUGUCUCUCUUGAGUGGAUCCUGAGUACGACGGAGCACGUGAAAUUCCGUCGGAAUCUGGGAGGACCAUCUCCUAAGGCUAAAUACUCUCUAGUGACCGAUAGUGAACCAGUACCGUGAGGGAAAGGUGAAAAGCACCCCGGAAGGGGAGUGAAAUAGAACCUGAAACCGAGUGCUUACAAGUAGUCAGAGCCCGUUAAUGGGUGAUGGCGUGCCUUUUGUAGAAUGAACCGGCGAGUUACGAUUUGAUGCAAGGUUAAGCAGUAAAUGUGGAGCCGUAGCGAAAGCGAGUCUGAAUAGGGCGUUUAGUAUUUGGUCGUAGACCCGAAACCAGGUGAUCUACCCUUGGUCAGGUUGAAGUUCAGGUAACACUGAAUGGAGGACCGAACCGACUUACGUUGAAAAGUGAGCGGAUGAACUGAGGGUAGCGGAGAAAUUCCAAUCGAACCUGGAGAUAGCUGGUUCUCUCCGAAAUAGCUUUAGGGCUAGCCUCAAGUGAUGAUUAUUGGAGGUAGAGCACUGUUUGGACGAGGGGCCCCUCUCGGGUUACCGAAUUCAGACAAACUCCGAAUGCCAAUUAAUUUAACUUGGGAGUCAGAACAUGGGUGAUAAGGUCCGUGUUCGAAAGGGAAACAGCCCAGACCACCAGCUAAGGUCCCAAAAUAUAUGUUAAGUGGAAAAGGAUGUGGCGUUGCCCAGACAACUAGGAUGUUGGCUUAGAAGCAGCCAUCAUUUAAAGAGUGCGUAAUAGCUCACUAGUCGAGUGACACUGCGCCGAAAAUGUACCGGGGCUAAACAUAUUACCGAAGCUGUGGAUUGUCCUUUGGACAAUGGUAGGAGAGCGUUCUAAGGGCGUUGAAGCAUGAUCGUAAGGACAUGUGGAGCGCUUAGAAGUGAGAAUGCCGGUGUGAGUAGCGAAAGACGGGUGAGAAUCCCGUCCACCGAUUGACUAAGGUUUCCAGAGGAAGGCUCGUCCGCUCUGGGUUAGUCGGGUCCUAAGCUGAGGCCGACAGGCGUAGGCGAUGGAUAACAGGUUGAUAUUCCUGUACCACCUAUAAUCGUUUUAAUCGAUGGGGGGACGCAGUAGGAUAGGCGAAGCGUGCGAUUGGAUUGCACGUCUAAGCAGUAAGGCUGAGUAUUAGGCAAAUCCGGUACUCAUUAAGGCUGAGCUGUGAUGGGGAGAAGACAUUGUGUCUUCGAGUCGUUGAUUUCACACUGCCGAGAAAAGCCUCUAGAUAGAAAAUAGGUGCCCGUACCGCAAACCGACACAGGUAGUCAAGAUGAGAAUUCUAAGGUGAGCGAGCGAACUCUCGUUAAGGAACUCGGCAAAAUGACCCCGUAACUUCGGGAGAAGGGGUGCUCUUUAGGGUUAACGCCCAGAAGAGCCGCAGUGAAUAGGCCCAAGCGACUGUUUAUCAAAAACACAGGUCUCUGCUAAACCGUAAGGUGAUGUAUAGGGGCUGACGCCUGCCCGGUGCUGGAAGGUUAAGAGGAGUGGUUAGCUUCUGCGAAGCUACGAAUCGAAGCCCCAGUAAACGGCGGCCGUAACUAUAACGGUCCUAAGGUAGCGAAAUUCCUUGUCGGGUAAGUUCCGACCCGCACGAAAGGCGUAACGAUUUGGGCACUGUCUCAACGAGAGACUCGGUGAAAUCAUAGUACCUGUGAAGAUGCAGGUUACCCGCGACAGGACGGAAAGACCCCGUGGAGCUUUACUGUAGCCUGAUAUUGAAAUUCGGCACAGCUUGUACAGGAUAGGUAGGAGCCUUUGAAACGUGAGCGCUAGCUUACGUGGAGGCGCUGGUGGGAUACUACCCUAGCUGUGUUGGCUUUCUAACCCGCACCACUUAUCGUGGUGGGAGACAGUGUCAGGCGGGCAGUUUGACUGGGGCGGUCGCCUCCUAAAAGGUAACGGAGGCGCUCAAAGGUUCCCUCAG
rnacentral:rRNA from 1 species